rnacentral:ncRNA from 1 species
GCAUUGAUUGGUUUGAACUUACCAGUUAAUAGUUUCUCCUCUAUUUCUCCUUUGUAGACUUGGCACACAUUCCAAAAGAAUGUGUGCAUUUUU